GACGAACGCUGGCGGCGUGCUUAACACAUGCAAGUCGAACGGAAAGGCCCCCUUGUGGGGUACUCGAGUGGCGAACGGGUGAGUAACACGUGAGUAACCUACCCUUGACUUUGGGAUAACUUCUGGAAACUGGGGCUAAUACCGGAUAGGAGCUCCUGCUGCUUGGUGGGGGUUGGAAAGUUUCGGCGGUUGGGGAUGGACUCGCGGCUUAUCAGCUUGUUGGUGGGGUAGUGGCUCACCAAGGCUUUGACGGGUAGCCGGCCUGAGAGGGUGACCGGCCACAUUGGGACUGAGAUACGGCCCAGACUCCUACGGGAGGCAGCAGUGGGGAAUAUUGCACAAUGGGCGGAAGCCUGAUGCAGCAACGCCGCGUGCGGGAUGACGGCCUUCGGGUUGUAAACCGCUUUCGCCUGUGACGAAGCGUGAGUGACGGUAAUGGGUAAAGAAGCACCGGCUAACUACGUG
rnacentral:rRNA from 1 species